rnacentral:rRNA from 1 species
GACGAACGCUGGCGGCGUGCCUAAUACAUGCAAGUAGAACGCUGAAGCGAGGAGCUUACUCUUCUUGGAUUAGUUGCGAACGGGUGAGUAACGCGUAGGUAACCUGCCUUUUAGAGGGGGAUAACUAUUGGAAACGAUAGCUAAUACCGCAUAACAAUGGAUGACACAUGUCAUUUAUUUGAAAGGGGCAUUUGCUCCACUACAUGAUGGACCUCCGGUGUAUUAGCUAGUAGGUUAGGUAAUGGCUCACCUAGGCGACGAUACAUAACCGACCUGAGAGGGUGAUCGGCCACACUGGGAAUGAGACACGGCCCAGACUCCUACGGGAAGCAGCAGGAGGGAAUCUUCGGCAAUGGGGGCAAGCCUGACCGAGCCACGCCGCGUGAGGGAAGAAGGGUUUCGGGUCGUAAAGAUCCGUUGUAAGUCAAGAACGAGUGGGAGAGUGGAAAGUUCACGUUGUGACGGUAGCUAACCAGAAAGGGACGGCUAACUACGUG